GAGGCCUCCGGGAGGGGCCUCGGCGGCGCUGGUGGCUGGAAGGACGGGCCGCGCGGGGGCCGCGGGGGCUUCAUAGAGGAGGAAGUGGGAGGGCCGGUUCUAGGGUUCCGAUGCCGGAGACGAUCCAUCGCCGCCGCCUCGAGUGGUGCGCGCCAAAACCCGAGGGGAUGAAAAGAAAGCGGAGGGAGGGAGAGCCUUCACACUCCGAC
rnacentral:lncRNA from 1 species